rnacentral:rRNA from 1 species
GACCUCGGAUCAGGUAGGGAUACCCGCUGAACUUAAGCAUAUCAAUAAGCGGAGGAAAAGAAACCAACAGGGAUUACCUCAGUAACGGCGAGUGAAGCGGUAACAGCUCAAAUUUGAAAGCUAGCUCUUUUAGGGUUCGCAUUGUAAUUUGUAAGAAGAUGCUUCGGGUGUGGCCCCGGUCUAAGUUCCUUGGAACAGGACGUCAUAGAGGGUGAGAAUCCCGUAUGUGACUGGGUGCUUUCGCUCAUGUGAAGCUCUUUCGACGAGUCGAGUUGUUUGGGAAUGCAGCUCAAAAUGGGUGGUAAAUUUCAUCUAAAGCUAAAUAUUGGCCAGAGACCGAUAGCGCACAAGUAGAGUGAUCGAAAGAUGAAAAGCACUUUGGAAAGAGAGUUAAACAGUACGUGAAAUUGUUGAAAGGGAAGCGC